GCAGCAGGCCGGUUUGUCGUUCCAGCAUAAUAGGCUGGGGAGGAAAGUCCGGGCAACGCAGAGCGCCAUAUUUCCUAACGGGAAGCUGUCCGCGAGGGCAGAGUAGCGUAACAGAAAAUAACCGUUUCGCUUAGGCGGAGUAAGGGUGAAAAGGUGAGGUAAGAGCUCACCGGGCGCCGUGGCAACACGGUGUGCCGUACGCCUUAUGGGUUGUAAGGCCAUGUAUACCGGAUAAAUGUAGGGUUGCUCGCCCGAUGCCGGGGGGUAGGCCGCUAAAGGGCGAUGGCGACAUCGGCUCGCAGAUAAAUGACAAACACUCCCGAUUUCGGUUGGGAUUACAGAACCCGGCUUACAGGCUUGCUGCUUUU
rnacentral:RNase_P_RNA from 1 species